GUAGGUAAGAGCUGUGGGCUGGGUACUGAUCAGCUAUCAAAAGGUUGGGAGAGAAGUUUGGGUCCUCAAGCCAUCAACUUACUAAGUCCUGCCCCAGCCCAGCCUUGACUACAACUUCCCCCAGGGAACAUCGCUGCAUGCCAAGGAUGUCCCAUGGCUCCCGGGGUGAAAGAACCAGGAUUGUAUGCUUGCUGUAAGAUGGAUCCAACACAAGGACAACAAUUGCUUCCUCGAGACUGGAGGACUCAGAGAGUGCCCUGAAGUUGAGGAAUGAACCCUCUGUGUCAGCGGCUGGCUUUGGACAAGCCUUCUUUCCCCAAGCCUCAGUUUCUCCUGAUUGAACUGCUUCUUUCUCACUGCCACGUGUCCUGCCACUGGGGCCCCAUGUGCAUAGACAACACCACGAAUAGGGUGCUGGAAUGGCGCAGCAGAGAGCUCCACAGCCACCACGUAACGCCAUCCCUUUUCCUGAAAGAGACAGGAUGAUUCCAGCUAAUAAAAGGUUCCAGACAAUCAGGAAUUAGGCUAAGCAUCUCUUCCUACUGUCUUUCUGGUAAAUGCAGCAAAACUCACACAAGUGGACUGAAGAGGCCCCGCAAUUGCAAUCAAGAAGCGCUUCACAGAUGUCCUCUACUUGCAAGAAGCACCAGAAUCAAAACAGAUAACAACUCUUGGCCAGGAUUUCUCAAGACUUGGAAGGUAUCCACGCUCCUGAAGAAUCCGAAUGGAGCAGCUCCAUCAUUCCCAACCACAAGCAUAGCCCCUGCCACAGCUUCUGCCUGGCCUGGGGAUUCUCUCUGGAUUCGCAGCAUACAUUCAUCUGAGGGUGGGAAGUGAGGACAUCUCUACUCACAGCACUUGACCGCAGAGGUUUUGAGAGGUAUAAAUGAUUAGCAGGGUUGGUUACAAACAACUGUGGAUCACCAGCUUCAUUUGGAGUGGCCUGACAUGGCAUGGGAAGUGCUGACUUGAGCAACCCUGACCUCCAUUUUGGAAGCAUUGCAUUACAUGGGGCAUGUAUGUGGGGAAAGCCCACAAUUUCAGUCUCACUUGGGACUUACAGUUUUGUCCCUACCCCUGAAUUUUUCUUGCUUACCACCUUGUUGGUUCUCACAACAUGGGGUUGUGAUCAGUGCCCUGCUAAAGGAGGAAAACCCACGUCCAAGGACAUAAUGUCUUAAAGUCUUGCAAAACAAGAACACAGAACGCCCUUCCUAUAGAGUCCUAGUCAUCAGUUUGCUGAUGUAGAGCUCUCCUCAGACUGUGGCUGCAUUGCAACGACCACCUUGUCAUGUGACAAGUCUGAGAGGCCUUGUAAAGCCAGCAGCCAUAGCCUGGCAGUAGUGUAACUUCAUGCCCUUGAACUUGCUUAAAUUAAAAAAAAACAAUACUA